rnacentral:rRNA from 1 species
UAGUGUGAAUGGCAAAAUUCAGUGAAUCAUUCGAAUCUUCCGAACGCACAUUGCGCCCCUUGGUAUCCCGAGGGGCAUGCCUGUUCGAGCGUCAUU